CCAAAAACGGUUAAUCCUUUAAAGACAUUUGUCCAUGUGCUAUCUUUAUGGAUUGAACGUCAUCAUGGAAUUUACUGAUAAACCAGUUGAGAGAAUUUAUAAUCCAAGAAAUUAGGAAUAUGCUACCAAUUAGCAUUAACGACUAAUAAAGUGCCAGCAGUCGCGGUCAUACUUUAGUUAAAAUAAAGACAAUUAGGAUAUAUGUAAGUAAUUAACUAGCCUGUGGUGAAAUAUGGAUACUACAUACUUUUAUACUUAGAACUAACUUAAUACUGACCCCAAACAGGGAUUAGAUACCCCUUUAUUCAGUAAGUAAACCCAGUCCUGGGCACUAUAAUUAACAGAUUUAAACCCAAUGAACAUGGCGGUAGUUUAAAUAUUUAGGGGAACUUACUAAGUAAAUGAUACCCACCAAGAAUAUGUACGUCAAGUUAGAUUUUACAUACCGUCGUCGUCAGAUAUACUAGAAUGGAAUAUCACAAUAUCAAAAAUAAAAAGACAGAUCAAGGUGUAGACCAUCUUAACGUUUCAGCGAGUUACAAUAUCUUAUGUUUUCGUAAACUAUUUAUAUAGAUAGUUACAGACGGACUUGAAAGUAAUAUUUAUAGAAAUUACAAUAUGAAUACCCCUUAAACUGUGC
rnacentral:rRNA from 1 species